rnacentral:lncRNA from 1 species
AAAUUUUGAAUACUGGUACGUUAAAAUACGAUUUCGAGGAAUAUAAUAUGAGUUCAAAAUAUGAAAUGGGAAAGCGAAUCCAUUUGUCGAAAGGGAAAAACUAAAAUUAUUAAAAAGAAGUAAGGAAAUAAAGGUAACUAUUGUCUGUUUAUUCCUUUAUUCCAGUUUCGAAAUCCAACCAUGGCAAAAAAAAAAAAAAAAAAAAAAAAGUGUCAAGUCUCAUCUCAUCUCUCCCCAUGUUGAUUUUGCUUUUUCCUCUCCCAUUGUCCCAUGAACACAAAUCAACCUGGAGAAUUU